UGGGACGUGGUGUAUGGCGCACGGCUGCUGUAGCUGCAAAGAGGAUAUUAUUGUUGAGGCAGCAGGACGGGGUUCGACUCCCUGUGUCCCAA